AUUUUUUUUUAAAAAAACAGGAAGCCCUCAAAAAGUCUACCGUCAGUUCCUCCGUCAUUUGUCAGAAACAAUGCGGCUUCAAAUUCUACUCUUACAUUUCUUCCAAGUGGCACUGGUUGAAUCCCUCGAGGUCCCUGGGUACCUUGGGGAUACUGUUAGCCUGCCCUCACAGGCCAACCCAUCAUGGACCCUUUCCAAAAUUGAGUGGUCAGUAUUUUCAAACACCACUUGGAUAGCCACCUAUCGCAGUGGGAAGAAAGUUACUGAGCGGUUCUACCUGUAUAAAGGGAGACUUGAACUCAACAUCACCUCAGGUGACUUGAUGAUCCGUAAUGUGACCACAAUGGAUGCCAUGGAAUACAGUGUCAACCUCAUCAAUACUCAAGGACAGAGCAGCGUAAAAAAGGUUAAGCUCAUAGUGAAACUACUCCCCCAGAAACCGGGUAUACAGAACGUCACUAAAACACCUAUAAACGGAGGCUGCUGGGUGGGACUGAUUUGUUCUUCACCUGAGAUAGGUGUUGACUUGUCCUGGAAGGUCGAACCUCCCAAUGUGAAUGUCUUUUCCAUGAGCAACUCUAGCAACUCUGCAGCACUUUUAGCAUAUAUCAACACCAACACCACACAUGUGAAAUUCACCUGCAUCUCCAGAAGGGCUACGGACCAAACCUCAAGUGACAUCACUUUAAAGUGUGAUGAUGGCAAGCCUCAGCCUGGGCCUUCACCUCUGCCAGUGUCAAUUCCGUGCAGGUGUAGACAUUUAGCUUACUUCACUGGAGGCAUGCUUACAGUUUUAAUGCUAGUCAUUUUGAUAUACUGUCUCAAAGGUGAGAGCAAAACAUUAUCCUUGUAUAAAAAUUCUUCUUUGUCCUCUUACUCCAAAAGUAGGUCACAAUCUCAUUUGAGCUUGCUCAAAGAUGCACAGUGGAGGUAGCAUACAGCUUUAGCAUUUUCAAACUUUUUAACUUUUUUAUUAUAUUAUUUAAUCUAGUAAAGAAGCAUUGAAUCUUGCUUAACUGCUACAUUAAAUUACUUUUAUUGACUAUUUUGACAUUAAGCAACAACAAUAUUAACAACAACUGCAAGAAUAUUAAUUGAAUAGAGUUAUACCAUGAUCUGAGUGAAUACUUCAAUGAUUCUGAUUGGCUGCUGGGUGUCUAUUAUUACCUGAUAGUUGUGGAAGUCGUUGGAGUGAAACUGUUCACCACUCUAAAUUAUUGCUCUGAAAUACAUUUAAUGAAAACAAAACCUGAAUAUCUUGAAAACAUAUCUCACAACACUGAGCCAAAGCAUCAGUCCUUAAGUUCUAUAUCCUCCGAACACCACAGGAUGGCGUCUGUAACACACAAGCCCCUGUACUGCCCCUCUGAACUCAUGGAUAAGGCAAGCGAUCAUCUCGCAUCCCAUUCGCUGUUCAACUCACUAGUUCAGGAUGCACCGGCCAGUACACAUGGCCUAUCAUUUGUUUGUGAAAAUCUUGAUAUUGAUUUGGGAACAGUGUCAUUCCUUCACGUCAUCCACUACUUCCUGAAAAUUGACACCUCGUUGGCCAUUAUCCCUUUCACACUUUAGGCUCAAACUGCAUGUAUCUCAUCUCUGGUUUUCCUGCAAAUGACAAAUUUGUGCUGGAGGAUUUUUACAAACGUUGACAACCUUCAUGCCUUUAAAUGCGCAAUACAAAGCACAUCAGUUAACAUUUUUCACAUUCGAUGGUCUUGUCAACAGUUUUACAAACAACUUAUAAGAACCGCCUAUGUCAACAGUCUAAAUUUUCUGGAGGAGCUAUACAAAACUUGGAGAUUUGAGGUGCUAUAAUCAAUUUCAAGAUAAGAACACCAGCAUUUGUUAUUUUGGCUCAGAAUAAAUAAAUUAAUAGGUUUCAUACCAAAUUAUGAGACUUGUGGGUGCUAUAAUACAUUUUUGGAUUAGAAAGAAUCACACAAAGUACAACAAAGUAGGGAUCUGGGAAAGCUAUAGCACAUUUUUGGCAAAGGCUUGGGACCACUCUCUCUCGUUCUAUUGUAGUAAUAAUAAAGACUGUUUAGUUCUCAAGCAAUUAAUAUAACCUGCUGACAUGUUUUUGUUUUGUAUUGUUUUUUUUUAAAGAACAAAUCAAACGUGCAUGGGAAUACGUCCGAGGAAAACUGUUUUCAGCCAAAUAAAACCCAUCAACUGAAGAAUAAGCAUGACGAACCAGCAUAAAAGUUUCCAGGAGGACAACAUCAUGUCUGAAGAUGCCUGCAUAAGUGCAUGGUGUGUAGUACUGGUAAAGUUAAAAACAUGCACUUGUGAUAUUAACACUUUACAAUAUACGGUACAUGUAUGAAUCAGGAACAACCUUAAUUACUUAUUAAUUAAUCAUUAAUAAGUAGGUAGUGAAUUACUAAAACAGGGGGAGUAUAUGACAGGUAGCUAGAGAAUCAUUAUAAAUAUCAUUCUUGUACUGCUUCAGAUCUUUCUAUAUUUAUAUUUCAAAAGUAAAAACUUCCUUGGCAAUAAACCCGAUUGUGAUUCAGAAUUUUUUUAAUUCACCAGUAAAAACUCUGUAGUUAUUGUCAUACUUUAUAAAUACUUCUCCUGAGGGGGCACAAAAAGAGAUUGAUGAAUAAGUUAUUAGUCGUUAAUAGUUUUGUGCCACUCAGCAGCUGGUUCAGAGUUAAUCAGGAAUUACACACAAAGAAAAUGCUCGAUAUUUAUGAAGUAAUCAUUAUCUGAUGAUUCCUUAAAAUAGUAUCUCCCAGUCAGUGCUUUAAUAAAUCACCAUCCACUAUAUAGACCUCCAUUCAGAAUUAUGCACUAACUUCUUAUUGAUGAUUCAGUCAUUGUCUGGUCAUUCUCCACUCGUUCCUUACUCAGUAAAUUUUGUGUACCAUAUUCAUUUUCUAAAUAAAAUAAACUGUAAACAAUUGUUGUAUAUGUAUUUAAUGUGAAAAUGAAAAAUGCAAUGAACGAAAUGAAUGUAUUUUUUAGAGAAACAUAUGUAAAUGAUAAUAUAUGUGUGUAUUUUUAUAUAUAUUUACACGCACACAUACCGAUUUACAUUGUAUGUGUAUUUUUUUUUUUACGUAUUGUAUUUUUUUAAUCACCUGAAAAUAAAUAAUUUCUAUGUUUCUCUUACC